rnacentral:lncRNA from 1 species
CGUGAACUAUACUUGCAAGCUCUAGCCUAGAUCCUAUAUGAAAAAAUCAAAUCAAGAAAUGUGUGGAAAUGAGUUUUUGAGUACAGCAAGGACCGAAGAUUUAAUUACCUCUAAGAAGAACAAAAACAGAGACUCUGUCCAUAGAGCAUCAAAUGAGCUGAACAUGAAGGAGUGAGGGAUACAGAAAAAUGUUGGGGGAUGACGAGUGAACUGAGAGAAAGAGAACAGGGCAUUGAGGAGGCUGCCCUGAGAUCUCGGAGGUGAGGAGGAAAGGCCUUGAGAAGAUUUUUUAAAGUCUAUUCUCUCCUCUAUGCUCUCUUCCACAUCAUCCUUGUUCUUCCCAAAGUAACAUCCUUUUUGACCAGCUCUAUGUAAUAUUAGGAUAUUAGAGUUGAUACGAAGGUCGUUACCUCUGCACCACAAUGGGAACUCCCAAGACUUCUGGUUCUUUCUAAAAGUUGAUGGAGAGGAGUUCCCAUGGUGGCUCAGCGGUAACAAACCUGACUGGUAUCCAAAGGACAAGGGUUCGAUCCCCGGUCCCACUUGGUGGGUUAAGGAUCCGGCUUUGCCGUGAGCUGUGGUGUAGUUCGCAGACAUGGCUCAGGUCCCAUUUUGCUCUGGAUGUGGUGUAGGCCGGCAGCUGUAGCUCUGAUUCGACCCCUAGCCUGGGAAACUCCAUAUGCCACAGGAGCGCCCCUAAAAAGCAAUAAAUAAAUAAAUAAAUAAAAGUUGAAGGAGCGAUGCACUGGGAUCAUGUAGCAUGGUGUCUGGUCCCAUGCGAUUGUCUUUAAAGGACAGGACAAUCCCCUGAUACAGAGGGUUCCUACUACUGUUGCAGGAAUCCGAAAAGUCAUUAUACCAUAUGAGCAUGAGAAUUUCUGGUAGUUUCCCCCAUUGAUAAAUUAGGACAUGCCACAAUAGAUAGAUAAGAGAGAAACAAUUUUGCAAAGGUUGCUGUUAUUUUAAAAAGGAAAUUAAAAUAAUCGAACAGCAAACAUAGAGGACUAACUGUUGUAGCAGGUGAAACUCAGAUCACAGAUGCUUAAGACAAAUUAAGUUUAUUGGUGGAUAGCCUUUCACAUGAGCAUUCAGGAACCCUGGUUUGUCCAUUUUGUGGCAUUCCAGUGUUCAGCAUACAGAUUCCAAGGUCAUUCUGUAGGUCAUCUCAUUUUGCCUGCCAGAGGGGAAACCAUCAGUGUAGGUUCUCCAUGGAGGUCUUUACAGCCUAAAUCUGGAAGUGAUUCACGUUCCCUCUGAGGCAUUUUGUGGCUUUGACUUAGUCACAUGAAUACAACUAACCCACACGAUGUGCUGAGAAAUGCAAGCUACUUGUAUGUCCAGAAAUAAGAGGUAAUGGAUUUUGGUCUCUUCCACGGCCUACACAGGACUGCUGUGUGCUAUAAACCAUACUAGACAGGCUCUGCUCUGUGCAUUUCUCAUGUUGUCCUCACAGCUUAAAAAGGAUAUUAUCGCCCACUUUACAGAUGUAGUAAUUCAAGAUUAUUUGUACUUGAUCAGGACCUGACUUCAAAAUUCAGUCAAUGGAUGCUAAAGGUCAGUCCAUGGACAGCUGCAAUAAAAUUAUUUAGAGAGCAUGUUUAAAUAUAACUUGAUGGGAAUAACCCCUGGAGAUUCUUAUUCAGUAGCUUUGGGUUAAAGCCCAGUAAAAUAUAGUUUUAAAAGCUCCCCAGGUGGUUCCAAAUAUGGCCGGAAUUGGGACCAGCUGCUCUAAGUUUUCCUGAAAUCAACCACUGAGUGGACACUACAGGGGCAUGAAAAUUAGCAAUAAUUAAUUGCUCUUAUAGGGCACAAACAAGAACAUCAGAACAUUCCCUCUUUCUUUCAAUCUUUCAUUAAACAUGAAGAGAACCCUGAGGUAUUCAAUAGCUUCUCAGGACAAACUGGUAACAUGAUGAUGACAUUUGAGUUGUGGCAUUUGUCCAUAUGGCAGUGAAAUGAAGGAUAUAGUAAUUUCAAGUGACAUUAUUCACUGAGCAACCAUGAAAUAAUAAGUUCGGUAACAACAACCAGAUCAUUACUCAGCUGGGUGGCAUUUGAAUUAGUAUCCUAAAAAUCUCCCACUGUUUUGUUUCCAAAGCUGAGUCUCUUUCUUAAAACUCCAUGAAAAUUAGCGUGACUGGAAUGAUAAUGGUUAGACAAAAUUCUCCUAAUUUCUUCAAACAAAAAGUAUAUACUAUACUUAGCCGUCUUCCCCUACGUUUGGGCUGCUCUUCUAAAAAUUCUGGCAAAAUGUAGAAACUUCACUAAAGGAUAUUUCCUGUUUCGAGUUCUUUGAUAUUUGUGUAAUGAUCAGUUGUUAAUCUUGAGAAUACUUCUGAAUUCUUUAACAUUGUUCUGUGGUAGUUCAAAUACCAGAUAAUUCUUUGUUAGUCUUUGUAUGACUAUUUUGCAGCUCUAGCAGUAAACAUAAAAAGUACAUCUUAUAGCUUGAGGUUAAGGAUUUUAAUGAGAUAUAUGUGCAUAUACAUUAUAUAUUUAUAUAUACACACAUAACAUAUAUACAUACAUAUGUACAUAUGGAUUCUAAAUUGCCAAACACAAAUAUACUAUUAAGGUCUGCAGACACCUCGAGACUACCAGCUAUUAAGUUCAAAUUAAUUGAGCUAUAAAAUACCAAAUAGGAAUAAUUUACACAGAUCCCUCCAUGUAAUUUCGAAAGUGUUCAGAAAACUUUGAGGCUUAUUAAAACACUCACCCAGCACACGUAUACAUGUAGGCACGUUUGGACAAUACUUAAUAUAAGCUGUUAUUUGAAAUUACAGAUAGCUCAGUUCAUAAAAAUGAAAAAUCUGCCAUUCCCUCUGUCUUUUAAAAAUUAUUUCCAUGUGCUGUAAUUUAGCCUGGUGUAAUUUGUUUGGAAAAUUAAAGUAAUAAAACCUUAGUUUGUUGUGUGUCUGAAUAGUGGCGAUGAUUGUCUCAGUGGGUGGCUGCAAAUGUAGGGAGAAGUCGUUGUCAAGAUAUGCAGACAGAAUAAAUACUAUUUACUAAAGGCUAAUGUAUAAGUACUAAUAAUAGACAUAUUGUUGCAUGAAAAAAUUACCUCCCUAGGAGAACUUGAACACUUAGCUUCAGUGCAGUUAGCAUGCAUAUGUUUUCCUUCUAAACCACUAAAAUAACCUUCUGGGGAAAGAAAGAAUCCAGAGCAGCCUUCUCUUUGUCAUCUUUCUGUGUUGCAUUAUCUGGGGUUGUAUGGUAGACUAUGAAGUUAGUAGUAAUUAAUGACGAUUAUAAUUGUUGGAUUAUUAAUAUUUUAGAAGCAUGAUAAAAUGAUUAUUGUAAUCAUGUGAAGCACCAUGAACACAUGUAAUUGUGAUAAUGCUGGCUAUUAUUUUAGUAAUUUAGAAAAUUAGUGCAUAAAGAGAGAUCAGUGAGGGACAAUUCAGAACGAGUGUGUGAAUAUGCAUGUAAGAAGAAAAUUACUAUUAAAGGGCAAAGCUAAUCAGCUGGAACAGAAACUUUCCAGAACUGUUUAUUUUCAAACCUUCUUCUGCAGGGAGUUUUGAAUUUUCCCAAUGUAAAAUCCCUUAAAAAUUAUAACAUUUUGGACAGAUGCCUUGGAUCUAUGAAGUUCUAAUUAUGAAGGCACAGAAACUAGAUCCUCUGUAUAAUCCAGGGUACUGAGAUCUUUAAAAUAUCAACAUGAAUCAAAGGUACAGGUGAUUGCUCUAAGUGGAUCUCAUAUAAUUACUUUCUGUGACCAAUUCUUUCAAAACUACAAAUGAGCUUGUGUCUUUGUAAGAAUUUGGUCAAGACUGGUAAUCUUGAUCCAAGUGGUGAAUAUGUGAAAGUGUCAGAUUCCUCUUGGAAGCACUUUGUAUUGAAUUUUUCAGUCAAUACCACAAUAACCCUGUAAGAUCAGUAAUAUUAUUAGACCCACUUGACUGAAGAAGAAAUGGAGACUAAGAUCUGCUAAGGAGCUUGUCCAAGGAUGGUGCAGUUUGCAAGAACCAAAGUUAUCAAACCCAGGCCAGCUGACUCCAGAAUUCAAGCCCAAGGCUAUUUCUCUACAGUGCUGUGCAUGGAAUUUAAGAACUACAUGGGUAGGAAAGCAUUACGUGAGGGUUACACUUCUCUGAUCCUUCUUCUGCAUAGGCCAUACAAGGACAGUGACCCAGACUUUAGGGCUGGAUCAGGGUAAGGUAUACCAUGAAAAUGACAUGAGAGUAAGUGUAAAAAAAAAUAUUCGAAGAUAAUUAGGGAUUAGUGGCAUGGUAUGUGUAACAUAUAUGAAAUCCAAGAGGUUAAAAAAUGAGGAUCCAAGACAGAAGCCAAGAGGUAGAAGAACAUUGGUUUUUGUGAGAAAGAUGUAACUUGUGUGAGAACAGGUGAGGGGACUCCAAAUGGUAAAUGUCAGCAGGGCUAAGGUGAACAAGGAACCUACUGAUGAGGUGACCUCUUUAAGGUAGAUUACGAGCAAUGUGUAGUAAAAUAACAGGGAAUUAUAUAAAUCGUUAGAAAUCGGAACUUGUUGCUCUUUAUUGAUUUUUCCUUUCCAUAUUUCACUGAUAUUCCAUACUUGAAAAUUUAUCACAUGCUUAAAUUGAAAGCAUAAAAUCUAUGAUUGUAUAAUUGAUCAAUAAUCAUAAAAAAGUAGGAUUUGGUAGGGAAUUCAUGUAUUAUCAGUGGACAGUUCAUACAACUCUGCAAAAUCAUAAAUAAAUCAGAAAAUAAUUUUUGAAAUUUUAUUUUUCUACCUCUUGUGCUCUUUUAUUUUGUUAUAGAAAAAACUACAUACUUUUUUUCUUUUAGAUUAUGUAUUUAUUUUACGCAUCCUCGUUGAUGAUUUACUUUCCUUAAACGAAUGUUAUCUUCCUUCCUCACAGAAUAUCUUUGUCUUGGAUUCCAGUUUCAGAUCAAGUUAAUGUUUUCCAGGGGAAAUUUUCCUUAACUAUCCCACCAUUUUUAGAUGCUCAGGUUAGAUGAGAUAAAGAAGGAAUCAUUGAACGAAUAUAUGGUCCUUUUCUAAAGUAUCUCAUCAUUUGUUGGAAAGAGUUUAUCAGUCAGAAUAUACUAGGUUUUGCUGUCACAACAAAUGACAACCAAUCCUAGCCUUUUACAAAGAAAAAUAGUUUGUAUAUCUUUCACAGUACACAUCAAGUGACAGUUAGCUAGACUCUGCCUCAUGAUCUGCAUUCCAGGACCCAAGCUGACAAAACAGACUAUAUGAUCAUAUGCAGAAGCAAAAGAAACAUAGCAAAAAAAUCAUAUACCAGCUUUAAAGCUUCUCCUCAAAAUCAGACACAAAAGUCCUUCCCACAUCUUUUGGCAAAAGCAAGUUACAUUUGUACUGCUUAGUUCUACAAAGCUAGGAUAUAUCAUUCUUAGGGCAGGGGGUAACUCAGAGAGAGAAUGCUUAGUGAAUUGUAAAACAGGUUACCUCAGGGUGAAAGACAUAACAAGUUAAUGAUAAUUGUUAUCAGGGAAUUACAUAUAGUGUUCUCUGGAAGUCUCCCACCGUGGAGAUUGUUAAAUCCUCUGCUAUCAGCAUCAGAAAGGAUGUUAAAAGUUCUCUAAUUCAAAAAUCUAUUCAAGGCAAUCAAAAAAUGUUUGUUGAUGAAGAUUAAAAUAAGUGUAAAAGGCAAUAAAUAUGCAGUGAUACUAUGGGAUCAUUUCACCCAGAGAAGAUAAAUUUUUGUGACUGUGAGAAUAGUAUGUGAGAGAAUAAUCUGUUCCAUAAAAAACUGUUUCGGAAUUCCACACACAGAGGUGUAGACAGUGUACUCUGAACAUUUUUACCCCACAACAUCUUGUUGGACCAAUGUUAACAUCUGACAUUUCUUUACAAAAGCACCGAUGCUAAUUUAAUAAUUCUGCCAACACAUAAAAGCUCAUGUAACUGAAUUUUAAAGGACUAAUGAGUACCUUUCUUAGGCUAAAAUUCAUCUGUCCAUUCUUUCAAAGCACAUAGGGACAUCUGAGCAUCUAUUUUCACCAUUAUUCUGUUUUAUAUAAAUUUCACCAUCAUCUUCUUUGUAUAAUAAAACAAACCUUGUUCUUUAUGUAAUAUAUUAAUCAUCUGUAAUCUGUUCAUACAAAUUUAGUGGAUCUUUCCUAUUCAUUUGCUAACAGUUUGUCCAUGUGGUAUAUAUUUUUAGUUUCAAUGAGUGGACCAAAGAUAAUUCUUUUUAUAAUAUUUAUUUUUUACAUAGAAAAAAUCAUUUAAGGAAUUCCUUUGAAUGAAUUAUGGCUCACCGGAAACAAAUCUGACUGGCAUCCAUGAGGAUGAAGUUUUGAUCCCUGGCCCCACUCAGUGGGUUAAGGAUCGGGUAUUGCCCUGAGCUGUGGUGUAGGUCACAGAUGUGGCUCAUAUCCGGGUUGCUGUGGCUGUGGUGCAGGCCAGUGGCUACAGCUCCGAUUCAACC